UCGUAGUUGGAUUUCUGGGGGUGGAGACAGGAGGGUGGCUAUGGCCACCGCCAGUCUUUUCCCUCGUCCGCCUGUUAACGCUGACUGAGAUUGAGUUCUCAGCAGCGGGCUCAGGCACUUUGAUAUUAUUUACCCUUUUUUGUAAAUAUGUUACUCAAUUUUGCAGGAUACUAAUCAUGUACACUUGAGUCAACUUACUUAUUCUUUUUGAGCAAAUUAUAGUGUUUCAGGCAGGCGUGCGCCGGAAUACAUUAGCAUGGAAUAAUCUUACGGACCGUGUGUGCUGCUCCGGCAGCAUCUCCUUAUUUGUUGGUUUCUUUAAGGACACGGAAUGAUUAAUAGGGAUAGUUGAGGUUUUAUAUCUCACCAGGGGAGGCAUUAGUAUUUAAUUUCCAGAGGUGAAAUUCUUUGAAAUUUGUAAAGACUAACUUAUGCGAAAGCAUUUUUCUUUUCUUUUACUGCCAAGAAUGUUUUUAUUUUAUUUGUUUAUCGAACAGAACGAAAGUUAGGGGAUCAAAGACGAUCAGAUACCGUCCUAGUCUUAACCAUAAACGUUGCCGACUAGGGAUCGGAGGGCGUGCACAUUCCGCCUUCGGCACCUUACGAGAAAUCAUAAGUAUUUUGGGUUCUGGGGGUAGUAUGGUCGCAAGGCUGAAACUUAAAGGAAUUGACGGAAGGGCACCACCAGGAGUGGAGCUUGCGGCUCAAUUUGACUCAACACGGGAAAUCUUACCAGGUCCAGACAUAGGAAGGAAAUUGAC
rnacentral:rRNA from 1 species